rnacentral:rRNA from 1 species
UAGGGAAUCUUCGGCAAUGGACGAAAGUCUGACCGAGCAACGCCGCGUGAGUGAAGAAGGUUUUCGGAUCGUAAAACUCUGUUGUUAGAGAAGAACAAGGACGUUAGUAACUGAACGUCCCCUGACGGUAUCUAACCAGAAAGCCGCGGCUAACUACGUGCCAGCAGCUGCGGUAAUACGUAGGUGGCAAGCGUUGUCCGGAUUUAUUGGGCGUAAAGCGAGCGCAGGCGGUUUCUUAAGUCUGAUGUGAAAGCCCCCGGCUCAACCGGGGAGGGUCAUUGGAAACUGGGAGACUUGAGUGCAGAAGAGGAGAGUGGAAUUCCAUGUGUAGCGGUGAAAUGCGUAGAUAUAUGGAGGAACACCAGUGGCGAAGGCGGCUCUCUGGUCUGUAACUGACGCUGAGGCUCGAAAGCGUGGGGAGCAAACAGG